GGGGUUGUGGCUCAAAGGUAGAGCACUCGCCUAGCAUGCGUGAGGCACUUGGGUUCAGUCCUCAGCACCA
rfam:Ictidomys tridecemlineatus contig024051, whole genome shotgun sequence.